rnacentral:rRNA from 1 species
GGCUCAGGACGAACGCUGGCGGCGUGCUUAACACAUGCAAGUCGAACGAUGAACCUCCUUCGGGAGGGGAUUAGUGGCGAACGGGUGAGUAACACGUGGGCAAUCUGCCCUGCACUCUGGGACAAGCCCUGGAAACGGGGUCUAAUACCGGAUACGAGCCUCCAAGGCAUCUUGGAGGUUGGAAAGCUCCGGCGGUGCAGGAUGAGCCCGCGGCCUAUCAGCUUGUUGGUGAGGUAACGGCUCACCAAGGCGACGACGGGUAGCCGGCCUGAGAGGGCGACCGGCCACACUGGGACUGAGACACGGCCCAGACUCCUACGGGAGGCAGCAGUGGGGAAUAUUGCACAAUGGGCGAAAGCCUGAUGCAGCGACGCCGCGUGAGGGAUGACGGCCUUCGGGUUGUAAACCUCUUUCAGCAGGGAAGAAGCGAGAGUGACGGUACCUGCAGAAGAAGCGCCGGCUAACUACGUGCCAGCAGCCGCGGUAAUACGUAGGGCGCAAGCGUUGUCCGGAAUUAUUGGGCGUAAAGAGCUCGUAGGCGGCUUGUCACGUCGGAUGUGAAAGCCCGGGGCUUAACCCCGGGUCUGCAUUCGAUACGGGCAGGCUAGAGUUCGGUAGGGGAGAUCGGAAUUCCUGGUGUAGCGGUGAAAUGCGCAGAUAUCAGGAGGAACACCGGUGGCGAAGGCGGAUCUCUGGGCCGAUACUGACGCUGAGGAGCG